rnacentral:miRNA from 1 species
UUUGUAUUACGUGCGGAAAUUGUUACCAUUUUUGAGCCGAAAAUGGUGACAAUUUCCGCUCGUAAUACAAA